UGAAAACGUUUUACAAUAGUAUCGUUCUCUAAUUCACUAAAAUGAAAAAGAAUAGCCGCUCUUAGCGGAAGGAGAUUAUUCUUUUUUCUUUUAAUGAAAAAUAUAAAUAAGGAGGAAGAACAAGA
rnacentral:sRNA from 1 species